rnacentral:rRNA from 1 species
CGUGUAGGCGGCCAUCCAAGUCUGGUGUGAAAGCUCGGGGCUCAACCCCGAGUCUGCAUUGGAAACUGGUUGGCUUGAGUCCGGAAGAGGAGACUGGAAUUCCUGGUGUAGCGGUGAAAUGCGCAGAUAUCAGGAAGAACACCGGUGGCGAAGGCGGGUCUCUGGGACGGUACUGACGCUGAGACGCGAAAGCGUGGGGAGCAAACA